rnacentral:rRNA from 1 species
AAAUUGAAGAGUUUGAUCAUGGCUCAGAUUGAACGCUGGCGGCAGGCCUAACACAUGCAAGUCGAACGGUAACAGGAAACAGCUUGCUGUUUCGCUGACGAGUGGCGGACGGGUGAGUAAUGUCUGGGAAACUGCCCGAUGGAGGGGGAUAACUACUGGAAACGGUAGCUAAUACCGCAUAACGUCGCAAGACCAAAGAGGGGGACCUUCGGGCCUCUUGCCAUCGGAUGUGCCCAGAUGGGAUUAGCUAGUAGGUGGGGUAACGGCUCACCUAGGCGACGAUCCCUAGCUGGUCUGAGAGGAUGACCAGCCACACUGGAACUGAGACACGGUCCAGACUCCUACGGGAGGCAGCAGUGGGGAAUAUUGCACAAUGGGCGCAAGCCUGAUGCAGCCAUGCCGCGUGUAUGAAGAAGGCCUUCGGGUUGUAAAGUACUUUCAGCGGGGAGGAAGGGAGUAAAGUUAAUACCUUUGCUCAUUGACGUUACCCGCAGAAGAAGCACCGGCUAACUCCGUGCCAGCAGCCGCGGUAAUACGGAGGGUGCAAGCGUUAAUCGGAAUUACUGGGCGUAAAGCGCACGCAGGCGGUUUGUUAAGUCAGAUGUGAAAUCCCCGGGCUCAACCUGGGAACUGCAUCUGAUACUGGCAAGCUUGAGUCUCGUAGAGGGGGGGUAGAAUUCCAGGUGUAGCGGUGAAAUGCGUAGAGAUCUGGAGGAAUACCGGUGGCGAAGGCGGCCCCCUGGACGAAGACUGACGCUCAGGUGCGAAAGCGUGGGGAGCAAACAGGAUUAGAUACCCUGGUAGUCCACGCCGUAAACGAUGUCGACUUGGAGGUUGUGCCCUUGAGGCGUGGCUUCCGGAGCUAACGCGUUAAGUCGACCGCCUGGGGAGUACGGCCGCAAGGUUAAAACUCAAAUGAAUUGACGGGGGCCCGCACAAGCGGUGGAGCAUGUGGUUUAAUUCGAUGCAACGCGAAGAACCUUACCUGGUCUUGACAUCCACGGAAGUUUUCAGAGAUGAGAAUGUGCCUUCGGGAACCGUGAGACAGGUGCUGCAUGGCUGUCGUCAGCUCGUGUUGUGAAAUGUUGGGUUAAGUCCCGCAACGAGCGCAACCCUUAUCCUUUGUUGCCAGCGGUCCGGCCGGGAACUCAAAGGAGACUGCCAGUGAUAAACUGGAGGAAGGUGGGGAUGACGUCAAGUCAUCAUGGCCCUUACGACCAGGGCUACACACGUGCUACAAUGGCGCAUACAAAGAGAAGCGACCUCGCGAGAGCAAGCGGACCUCAUAAAGUGCGUCGUAGUCCGGAUUGGAGUCUGCAACUCGACUCCAUGAAGUCGGAAUCGCUAGUAAUCGUGGAUCAGAAUGCCACGGUGAAUACGUUCCCGGGCCUUGUACACACCGCCCGUCACACCAUGGGAGUGGGUUGCAAAAGAAGUAGGUAGCUUAACCUUCGGGAGGGCGCUUACCACUUUGUGAUUCAUGACUGGGGUGAAGUCGUAACAAGGUAACCGUAGGGGAACCUGCGGUUGGAUCACCUCCUUA